AGACUUCAGAAGAACUGACCCAAGGACAAAGGUCCACCCAGGCCAUGGAAGAGGCUCCUCAACCGUUUGGGUGCCUGGCUACUUCAAGAGUUGAGCUAAUCACAGGGAAGAUUCAGUCUCAGUUCAGCUGCCUCAUUUGAUCAGCUCAAGACUGAGUCCAACAAAAGUGGUCUGUCUAAUGAAACUCAUUUUCAUUUUUUCUCAUUAGUCUAUACACGAUUGAGACUGUAGAACGACAAAAGAAUAAAAAGAAGAAUGACAAUU
rnacentral:ncRNA from 2 species